GACAGAGGGUGCAAACGUUGUUCGGAAUUACUGGGCGUAAAGCGCGUGUAGGCGGCCCUGCAAGUCGGGUGUGAAAUCCCACGGCUCAACCGUGGAAGUGCACUCGAAACUGCAGGGCUAGAGUCCUGGAGAGGAAGGUGGAAUGCUUGGUGUAGAGGUGAAAUUCGUAGAUAUCAAGCGGAACACCGGUGGCGAAGGCGGCCUUAGCUGGACAGUGACUGACGCUGAGACGGCGAAAGCG
rnacentral:rRNA from 1 species